rnacentral:rRNA from 1 species
UACAGAGGUCUCAAGCGUUGUUCGGAUUCAUUGGGCGUAAAGGGUGUGUAGGUGGCGCCGUAAGUCGGGGUGUGAAAUUUCGGAGCUUAACUCCGAAACUGCAUUCGAUACUGCGGUGCUUGAGGACUGGAGAGGAGACUGGAAUUCAUGGUGUGCAGUGAAAUGCGUAGAGAUCAUGGAGGAAGACCAGUGGCGAAGGCGGGUCUCUGGACAGUUCCUGACACUGAGACACGAAGGCCAGGGGAGGCAAACGGGG